CCUACGGGAGGCUGCAGUGGGGAAUAUUGGACAAUGGGGGGAACCCUGAUCCAGCCAUGCCGCGUGUGUGAAGAAGGCCCUCGGGUUGUAAAGCACUUUCAGUGAGGAAGAACGCCUGGUGGUUAAUACCCAUCAGGAAAGACAUCACUCACAGAAGAAGCACCGGCUAACUCCGUGCCAGCAGCCGCGGUAAUACGGAGGGUGCGAGCGUUAAUCGGAAUUACUGGGCGUAAAGCGCGCGUAGGUGGCUUGAUAAGCCGGUUGUGAAAGCCCCGGGCUCAACCUGGGAACGGCAUCCGGAACUGUCAAGCUAGAGUGCAGGAGAGGAAGGUAGAAUUCCCGGUGUAGCGGUGAAAUGCGUAGAGAUCGGGAGGAAUACCAGUGGCGAAGGCGGCCUUCUGGACUGACACUGACAUUGAGGUGCGAAAGCGUGGGUAGCAAACAGGAUUAGAUACCCGAGUAGUC
rnacentral:rRNA from 1 species